AAAAGUCAAAUAUUGCGAUUGUUGUACAUAAAAUGAACAUUCAUAUAUAUAUUUUGUCCGUAAUUUUUUGUUGACCCAUUUAGCAGAAAUAGCCUCUAGAAAGUAACAGAUUUUCGACAAAAACGGCGCGUAGCGCCUUAAGGUAUAUCAAGUAAGUCUGUGUGCACGUUUCCCCCUGCAAAACAUGGCAGAACAAUUUGUGCGGUAGGAUAUCGCUUGGGCUUCUCCUUUCCGACGUGUCGGAAGCCGGUGUUGCUCGAAGACUGAUAAUAUUAUGUAGAUAUGAUGAUUUUCCAAACCAAUUGUUUUCUUGUCAGCUAAGGAAGCUUGGCCCGAACAGUGUAAAGGGAGGUCGUACUGCCACGUGCAACCAGACUACUACCCGAAAGAGACGUUUGCAAACAUUUUGGACGGGGUGAAACUGCAGUUCCAGCAAGGCGGAGAGAUCGCCAACCGCAGCAGUGAAGAUGACGUCGCCAGCUGCAGUACAAUCAAGUUGUUUGACAGAAUUUACCUCAUCUUGGACGAUAGAGACACAAUCAGGUUCGUCGCCCAGAACGACGAUUUUUUCUCAUUCACGAUUCAAAUCGAAGAAUGCAGUACACCUGGCC